ACAAGAACGACUCUCAAAAAUGGAUAUCUCGGCUCUCGCAUCGAUGAAGAACGUAGCGAAAUGCGAUACUUGGUGUGAAUUAUAGAAUCCCGUGAACCAUUAAGUCUUUGAACACAAGUUGCGCCCGAAGCCGUUAAGUUGAGGGCACGUCGGCCUGGGUGUCACAC
rnacentral:rRNA from 1 species